CCAUAGUUUGUAUUUUAAAUACCUGAUAUAUAUCACCCAUUGUGUGUAUAUCAUAAACAAAUGUGUUAACGCCAAGAUCUUUUUCCACGUCUCAAUCACGUAAGACGUCCUGAUCCUGCACAGUAAACACGGUCAACACCAAAAGCUUGACGGCGGUUCCGUCGGGGAAUAGCUCAGGCGUGAGAAUUAGUACGUGUUCACAAGGUUAACAAUUGAGGAAUAUAUGGUCUAGUGUAUUGAGAGAGAUAAUAAAUCUCAGUUGUGUGUAUGGGAGAAUAUGAAUAAUCAAUAUAUGAGAGAACGUACCUCCAUACGAUGGCUUCCUUGCUAAGUUAUAUUACCUUUGCUUGGAUUACUGUGCCACCCACUACUACCUGACACCCCCUCUGAUCUGAUGGGCUCUGCCGACUAUAUCAGGUUUAUCUACUGCUUUUGGCCACUGUUUUCUAUCGCCGGCCGGUUAUGAUCUCAUCCACAUUAAUGCAUGGCAGGAUCCUUG
rnacentral:lncRNA from 1 species